rnacentral:lncRNA from 1 species
GCAAGCCCCCUCCCAAGCAGGCCAGCCCUAGUCCAACGGCUGCAGGGGUAGGCUUUGUAGGCUGAGAGGACUGGCAAACGCCGGGAGAGAGGGGCUCGGAGCCCUGCUGGUAUCAGGAUCCGCGGCCCGUACUGGGCCAGCAUUCUCCAUGCCGGAUGAUAUGGUCGAGGCUGACGGUUACCUCUCUCCACACCCAGUUCAGUAUUUGCUCCCCUAAUUUUACCCUAAUACUGACUGCUAAUAACCCAGAUCCUGCUGCGACCGUAGAUGAAUUCCCGCUUCAUUUCUCAUGAAAUCCCAGAAGCCUGGGUUUCCUUCUGGUGACUACUUGGUGCCCGAGUUCUCCACCCGAAGCCAAGUUUGGUGGGCACUCAGCCAACCACUGAACGCGACAGAAAGUCCAGUUCCACCUGUCCCAAGGCCUGGUCUGCCCCGCCCAGUGCCUACAGGACUAGAACCCGGACCUUUGUGAUUCACACUUGAAGCCUCAACCAUCUUUGCUUCUCAGGUGCUGUCACAUUAGUUUCAGGCCAGUGAAAAACUGCUGAGGCUAGACCGUCAUGGGCGAGGCCAGCAGAGAUGAGUAUAAAAUCCAGUCUUUCGAUGCAGAGACUCAGCAGCUGCUGAAGACUGCACUCAAAGAUCCAGGUGCUGUGGACCUGGAGAGAGUAGCCAACGUGAUUGUGGACCAUUCUCUGCAGGACUGCGUAUUCAGCAAGGAAGCAGGACGGAUGUGCUACGCCAUUAUUCAGGCAGAGAGUAAGCAAGCAGGCCAGAGCGUCUUCCGCCGUGGGCUCCUCAACCGGCUGCAGAAGGAGUACGAUGCCCGGGAGCAGCUUCGAGCAUGCUCCCUGCAGGGCUGGGUCUGCUAUGUCACCUUUAUCUGCAACAUCUUUGACUACCUGAGG